AGCAUGUGGUUUAAUUCGAAGCAACGCGAAGAACCUUACCAGGCCUUGACAUGCAGAGAACUUUCCAGAGAUGGAUUGGUGCCUUCGGGAACUCUGACACAGGUGCUGCAUGGCUGUCGUCGGCUCGUGUCGUGAGAUGUUGGGUUAAGUCCCGUAACGAGCGCAACCCUUGUCCUUAGUUACCAGCACGUUAUGGUGGGCACUCUAAGGAGACUGCCGGUGACAACCGGAGGAAGUGGGGAUGACGUCAAGUCAUCAUGGCCCUUACGGCCUGGGCUACACACGUGCUACAAUGGUCGGUACAAAGGGUUGCCAAGCCGCGAGGUGGAGCUAAUCCCAUAAAACCGAUCGUAGUCCGGAUCGCAGUCUGCAACUCGACUGCGUGAAGUCGGAAUCGCUAGUAAUCGUGAAUCAGAAUGUCACGGUGAAUACGUUCCCGGGCCUU
rnacentral:rRNA from 1 species